GUGGCGGCCCCGCGGGCGGGAGCGCGGAGCGGCGGCCGCAGGUGGGGCCGGGGCCGGGCGGGGACAGCCCGGGAGUCCCUCGGAGCCCCCGGGCCGCCUCCCUCCCUCCCUGCGGCUCCGGAGAGGAGCAGGAACCCGCCGGGAGCCCCGCCGGGGGCGGCCGGGACGAGGAGCGGGAGGCGCCGGCAGCCGCGGGGUCUCAGUGCGCAGGAUGGGGCUGUGCCCGCACGGCCCCGGACAGGCUCCCUCCUCUGCGCGCCCGAGUGCAGCAUCCAGCACAUGAAGACAAAACACCGGAAUUAAGCCGUGCUGUAAAGACAGAUCAGGUUUCAGAGGAUGCACUUGUGCAGAUGAAGAGUGAAGCGGCCAGCCCAGAGAUGAAGCACUGUGCCCUGUGACAUUUACUUCU
rnacentral:lncRNA from 1 species